rnacentral:rRNA from 1 species
AGAGUUUGAUCCUGGCUCAGAUUGAACGCUGGCGGCAUGCCUUACACAUGCAAGUCGAACGGCAACACGGGAGCAAUCCUGGUGGCGAGUGGCGAACGGGUGAGUAAUGUAUCGGAACGUGCCCAGUCGUGGGGGAUAACGUAGCGAAAGUUACGCUAAUACCGCAUACGAUCUUUGGAUGAAAGCGGGGGAUCGCAAGACCUCGCGCGAUUGGAGCGGCCGAUAUCAGAUUAGGUAGUUGGUGGGGUAGAGGCUCACCAAGCCGACGAUCUGUAGCUGGUCUGAGAGGACGACCAGCCACACUG